UCCCUGGUGGCUCAGCUGGUAAAGCAUCCGCCUGCAAUGUGGGAGACCUGGGUUUGAUCCCUGGCUUGAGAA
rfam:TPA: Bos taurus chromosome 11, whole genome shotgun sequence.